rnacentral:rRNA from 1 species
AUACGGAGGAUCCGAGCGUUAUCCGGAUUUAUUGGGUUUAAAGGGAGCGUAGGUGGAUUGUUAAGUCAGUUGUGAAAGUUUGCGGCUCAACCGUAAAAUUGCAGUUGAAACUGGCAGUCUUGAGUACAGUAGAGGUGGGCGGAAUUCGUGGUGUAGUGGUGCAAUGCUUAGAUAUCACGAAGAACUCCGAUUGCGAAGGCAGCUCACUAGACUGUUACUGACACUGAUGCUCGAAAGUGUGGGUAUCAAACAGGAUUAGAUACCCUGGUAGUCCACACAGUAAACGAUGAAUACUCGCUGUUUGCGAUAUACAGUAAGCGGCCAAGCGAAAGCAUUAAGUAUUCCACCUGGGGAGUACGCCGGCAACGGUGAAACUCAAAGGAAUUGGCGGGG